rnacentral:misc_RNA from 1 species
GAUGAAGAACGUAGCGAAAUGCGAUAAGUAAUGUGAAUUGCAGAAUUCAGUGAAUCAUCGAAUCUUUGAACGCACAUUGCGCCCGCCAGUAUUCUGGCGGGCAUGCCUGUUCGAGCGUCAUUACAACCCUCAGGCCCCCGGGCCUGGCGUUGGGGAUCGGCGGAAGCCCCCUGUGGGCACACGCCGUCCCUCAAAUACAGUGGCGGUCCCGCCGCAGCUUCCAUUGCGUAGUAGCUAACACCUCGCAACUGGAGAGCGGCGCGGCCAUGCCGUAAAACACCCAACUUCUGAAUGUUGACCUCGAAUCAGGUAGGAAUACCCGCUGAACUUAAGCAUAUCAAUAAGCGGAGA